GAUGAACGCUGGCGGCGUGCCUAAUACAUGCAAGUCGAGCGAACAGACGAGGAGCUUGCUCCUCUGACGUUAGCGGCGGACGGGUGAGUAACACGUGGAUAACCUACCUAUAAGACUGGGAUAACUUCGGGAAACCGGAGCUAAUACCGGAUAACAUGUUGAACCGCAUGGUUUAACAGUGAAAGACGGUCUUGCUGUCACUUAUAGAUGGAUCCGCGCCGCAUUAGCUAGUUGGUAAGGUAACGGCUUACCAAGGCAACGAUGUGUAGCCGACCUGAGAGGGUGAUCGGCCACACUGGAACUGAGACACGGUCCAGACUCCUACGGGAGGCAGCAGUAGGGAAUCUUCCGCAAUGGGCGAAAGCCUGACGGAGCAACGCCGCGUGAGUGAAGAAGGUCUUCGGAUCGUAAAACUCUGUUAUUAGGGAAGAACAAAUGUGUAAGUAACUAUGCACGUCUUGACGGUACCUAAUCAGAAAGCCACGGCUAACUACGUG
rnacentral:rRNA from 1 species